AGAGUUUGAUCCUGGCUCAGGACGAACGCUGGCGGCGCGCCUAACACAUGCAAGUCGAACGAGAGAGAGGGAGCUUGCUUCCUCAAUCGAGUGGCGAACGGGUGAGUAACGCGUGAGGAACCUGCCUCAAAGAGGGGGACAACAGUUGGAAACGACUGCUAAUACCGCAUAAGCCCACGGCUCGGCAUCGAGCAGAGGGAAAAGGAGCAAUCCGCUUUGAGAUGGCCUCGCGUCCGAUUAGCUAGUUGGUGAGGUAACGGCCCACCAAGGCGACGAUCGGUAGCCGGACUGAGAGGUUGAACGGCCACAUUGGGACUGAGACACGGCCCAGACUCCUACGGGAGGCAGCAGUGGGGAAUAUUGCACAAUGGGGGAAACCCUGAUGCAGCGACGCCGCGUGGAGGAAGAAGGUCUUCGGAUUGUAAACUCCUGUUGUUGAGGAAGAUAAUGACGGUACUCAACAAGGAAGUGACGGCUAACUACGUGCCAGCAGCCGCGGUAAAACGUAGGUCACAAGCGUUGUCCGGAAUUACUGGGUGUAAAGGGAGCGCAGGCGGGAGAACAAGUUGGAAGUGAAAUCCAUGGGCUCAACCCAUGAACUGCUUUCAAAACUGUUUUUCUUGAGUAGUGCAGAGGUAGGCGGAAUUCCCGGUGUAGCGGUGGAAUGCGUAGAUAUCGGGAGGAACACCAGUGGCGAAGGCGGCCUACUGGGCACCAACUGACGCUGAGGCUCGAAAGUGUGGGUAGCAAACAGGAUUAGAUACCCUGGUAGUCCACACCGUAAACGAUGAUUACUAGGUGUUGGAGGAUUGACCCCUUCAGUGCCGCAGUUAACACAAUAAGUAAUCCACCUGGGGAGUACGACCGCAAGGUUGAAACUCAAAGGAAUUGACGGGGGCCCGCACAAGCAGUGGAGUAUGUGGUUUAAUUCGACGCAACGCGAAGAACCUUACCAAGUCUUGACAUCCUGCGACGGUGCUGGAAACAGUACUUUCCUUCGGGACGCAGAGACAGGUGGUGCAUGGUUGUCGUCAGCUCGUGUCGUGAGAUGUUGGGUUAAGU
rnacentral:rRNA from 1 species